ensembl:snRNA U4 U4 spliceosomal RNA
ACCUUUGCACAGUAGUAGCAUCAUAGCCACUGAGGUCUACCUGAAGUGCAAUUAUUGCUCAUUGAAAACCUUUCCCAAAACCCUGUCAUGAUGACUUGCAAUAUAAUUGGCACUGGUAAUUUCUGACAGUCUCUAAGGAGA